rnacentral:lncRNA from 1 species
CUGAAGUCUGUGUUCAGCUAGGCAGGUAAGUGUGUAAUGUUAACACCACCGCAGUGCUUGACAAUUUACACCACAGAAACACAACUUUAAAUGUUGUCAUUUAGUCGUGAAUUCUUAAACAUCACAGAAACAUCAUCCUCGCUCGCUCUCUGAACCUGUAGUGAUAAAUGAUACAACAACGAUACAACCCCUGGGUCUUCGUCUGGGCCAGAAUAUUCUGAGGGAGAUAAAUGAUGGCUAGGUUGUCGUCUGGGCCAGAAUAUUCAGAGGGAGAUAAAUUAUCCCUGGGUCUUCGUCUGAGCCAGAAUAUUCAGAGGGAGAUAAAUGAUGGCUAGGUCGUUGUCUGGGCCAGAAUAUUCAGAGGGAGAUAAAUUAUCCCUGGGUCUUCAUCUGGGCCAGAAUAUUCAGAGGGAGAUAAAUUAUCCCUGGGUCUUCAACUGGGCCAGAAUAUUCAGAGGGAGAUAAAUUAUCCCUGGGUCUUCAACUGGGCCAGAAUAUUCAGAGGGAGAUAAAUGCAGAGCAGAAUGUUAAAGCUGUACAGAGUCACCUCAGGUCUGGUCUGGUGUGUAAAGCUGUACAGAGUCACCUCAGGUCUGGUGUGGUGUGUAAAGCUGUACAGAAUCACCUCAGGUCUGGUCUGGUGUGUAAAGCUGUACAGAAUCACCUCAGGUCUGGUGUGGUGUGUGGUUGAAGACACCUCUACUCACACCGUCACACCGUCUAGUAUUCCUCCAACACGGAACCAGAAAAACCACCGUGUGCCAGCAGGAGUAUAA